rnacentral:lncRNA from 1 species
UUGGCCGCCUCCACCACCGCUGCUCCCAUCUUCUUCUCCAUCCUCCAUCCCCCAAUUCAAUCCUAUCCAUCUCCCUCUCCCUUGUCCGCCGCCACCACCGGCAACCUUGAUGCCCCUCUCCCCAACUGCCAGCGCCACCGCACCCACCCUCUCCCCCAUCCCCUGCUCUCACCUUCUCUCCUUAAACUAGGCGGCCACCAGAACGAGCACCAAGGCGCUUCCCGAUCUGCGGCGCUGCUUCCGGAUCCGCCGAGCAGAGCCAGAGGUCGGCUCCUUCUCCGCGUUGUUCUGCGCCAAGGUUGACCUCCUCUUCCUUCUCCGCGUGGUCCAUGGCGCUAAUCCCGGACGGUACCACCUCUCCGGUUCCCAAUCCCACCCCUAAAUCGAUGGAUGGAUCUCCAUGGUUGAUGUGUUUUCCUACUGCUCUGGUUGGUCACAGGUGAGGCACUCAAUACCAUGGCCGGACGGAGGUUGGGCGAUUUCCCUCCCUGACAUCGCCGCCUAGCCACUCCACCGCGAGCUUCUCGCCCCCAGGUUGUUCUUCCCCUGCUCGCUCCCUCCCUCUUCCUCUCUAUCGAUUGGUUGCUGCUGCAUGCUUGCUGCUGAAGUACCAAUCAUCUCUUGCGUUGGUGCUGCUGCUGUGUGGAUUUGUUUAUAUUGUUGAUAUUGCUUAGCUAGUGUGGAUGAAUGGAUGUGGGUGCGUGACCGUGCUCAACCUAAUAGAAUAUUUUCAAAUAAAAAUAACAAUUAGUGCUAAAGUAUUAAUUUAUGGGUUGAGUUCUGCGCAUAGUUAAAUGUAGCAGCAGCAUACAGUUUUCAGAGUGCACACUGCCGAGCAUGCAUUUUUUUAUGUAGAAAUCUCAAAUCUUUGUAACACAACACUUGCUGGCAUUGGGUAAAUGACUUGCCUUCCAUUAACUACAGUCUUGCAUUUUUAUAAAAAGGAAAAAGAUGAUCUCUUGCGUGCAAAUGUACUCUGUGAGAUAAUAAUACAUCCGCGUGUAUGUGUAGUUCAUUGGGCCUGUAGCUCACUAGUUUGUGUUUUCCCCUGUAAUGUUUACCUCUGCUAUCAUGAUGGAUUUGGCUUUGCAGUCCGGUCCUUGACAUAUACUUCUCGUUCGAAUAAUCAGUAUUUUAAAAUUUUAGUGUCUACGUAACAUCAGUACCUUGGAAUAUACUGCCUGUUGGAAGGAUUAACAUUUUAUAUCCUGAACAUUUGUUAUUGCAGGUGCUCUUUAGCUACAUAUCUACAUAAUAUCAAAUCUGACUUGACUUUAUAUGUUUGUAUUAUAUGGCAAGUUGAUUGUGUAGCCUAUGUACAGAAGCUCAGUGUGUAGAUAAGUUCAGAAAGAUGUCUCAUUUGGCUAGAAUGUGAUGAAGUAGCGUGGAAUCGCUCUGAACAUUUUAUACAUUUGUGUGUGGAAUUUGUUAUUAAUCUGCACAACAUCAGCACUAAUACUUUAAUAGUAUCGAUUCAGUAUCUUAACUACUGGGCCACCAGUCAGCCUCUUUGUCCGUACAACGUCAACAGUGAAACUUUUAUAUUAUUGAUUCGGUAUCUCUACAACAUCAGUACUGCCGAGCAUGUAUAUUUUUCUAUAGAAACGACUUCUUCCAUUAACUAUAGUCUUGCAUUUUUCUAGAAAAAUAAUCCGAUCUCUUGCGUGCAAAUGUUCUGUGUGAUACUAAUACAUCCAUGUGUAUGGGAACUACAUUGGGGCCUGUAGCUCACUAGUUUGUGGUUCCCUGUAAUGUUUACCUCUGCUAUCGUGCUGGUUUUGGCUUUGUAGCAAGGUCCUCGACAUAUACUUCUCGUUCAAAGAAUCAGUACUUUAAAAUUUUAGUUUGCCUACAUAACAUCAGUACCUUGGGAUAUAAAAAGUAUACUUCCUGUUGGAAGGAUUAACAUUUUGUAUCCUGGACAUUUGCUAUUGCAGCUGCUCUUUAGCUAUAUAACAUCAAAUCUGGACUUGAACUUUAAAUAUUUAGAUUAUAUGACAAGUUAAUUGUGCUACUUUCUAUUCGUCAGUGUUAGUUACUAUGAAGUAGCUCACUGGAGCCAACGAUGGAUACUUAGCCUCUAGUUAUAAGGAUUACCUGCUGCUGCUUUUGCUACCUCUUCUGUUCCCUGAAUGAAUGGUCCUGCGGCUUUCUCGCAUGCUGUUUCUGUUUCUCUUUUUCUUGGACAGUGUUUUUCUCUCUUAGAAUCAUAUUCUGGACAGGUUGCUUGUGCUGUCAAAUUUGAACUAUUUAUUAGGGUUGAUUUCUAUGCCACUAAUGCCUACUGCCUUCUCCACCCAUCCAGUGGCGUCCAAGACGUCCUCCUCCUCGAUGCAGCCGUUCCCAACGAGCUCUCUUUGCCGGAUGAGGUGCAGCAGCAAGUCCAGCACCCCCUUGGCCCCUGCAUCCUAUCCUACAUCGCCUGGACGAGCUCAUGCACUGAUGUAUGCGUCCUCCUUACGUCCUAGCGUGGUGAGCCUCUCCCCACUUUAUCCCAAAUCUAGAUGAUACUUGCAAUCUGAAUACAAAUCAUGUUUUGGUUCAGUUUAGAGGCGGAUUCAGUUGCUGAGAUGAAUAUGUGAGCUUGAUUAGUUGCUUACGGUUUUGUGGAUCUAAUUCUCUUGCACUGUUACGCAUAAUUUAAUCAGGGCAAGCUAAUGUUGAUCCACGCAAUAUGAUAUAGCUAUUUUUUUUUCUAAUAUGCACCGUUCUUCAUGUUGCUUUCAUAUUGAUCUUUUGGGAGUUAAUUUGGAAGCUCCAGCUUGUUAGAUAUAAAUUCAGCUGCGUCUGUGUAUCUUGCUAGAAUGGACUUGUUCUACAGAUGCGUGUAUUGUUGAUAUGCUAUUAUUGCUACUUGGAUUUUUAUUUCCUGGCAAGUAACUAUAUUUUUGCUUGAACAGAUGUGUACUUUAAUUAUGCUCCUAUUGUUUUCUUGUUAAUACAAAAGCAACAAGCUCCCUAUUCUAAAAUAGUGUUCAGGAUUCAGAUUGUGUUAGACAUCAAUAAUUCUGUACAUGGUAACUGAACUCCCUUCUGUUCAAUACCUAUCCCACAUUACAUAUAUGAUACAUCAAUUAUCACUUAUUUUCAUACCAAUGGCAACCCCUUUUCAUGGUUGAAAUGAAGAUUUUCACCGUGGCAGUCUGCCUUCUCUAUCAUAGAUUGGAACUGUGGACGCAGUACAGUAUGAUUGAUUGUUGUACGAGAAGCUAUUAUCCUUUUUGUUAUUGUUUGCCUUUGUUACCAGAAUAAUAGCUUGUAGCAUAAUAAUCUUAAUAUCUCAUGUAGCAUAUUGUUUGUUGAGAUGAAUAUCUUCUGUAGCAUAUUGUUUGUUGUUGUUUGCCUUUGUUACCAGAAUAAAAGUAUUGCUUAUGUUAUUUACUUCCGGCAGUGAGUACGAAAGUGCCUCCGCUUGAUUUACUUUUUAUACUUUUCUUAGUUUCACAUACUUCAUAUUUCACGGCACAUGAGAGACUGCAUUGUAGGAAAUUCAGAAGGUUUUCAUAGCAUGAUUCGAGUUAGUGUAGUGAUAGCCCGGGACUUCAAGUCAAAUAAGCACAGUGGAGUUUACUACCAACUAUUGAUCUAUGUAUGCUCAUCAUUCCUUUUUGUUGCCACCAGUUAUUUCUUUUCACAUGAAUGCUUUUGUUUCACUACUUUGCAUCAUGGCAGAGAAAAAAUAUAGAACUUGAUAACGUGUAGUAAGCUACUUCUAGUUUCUACCUCUAUUUUAACCUACUGACUGUAAUAUUUUAUAGUGUGACAUAUUUUUCAUCAUGUGGCAGAUAUUGGUUUAUGGGAGCGUUUUCAGCAACAAAGACAUGAUGAUCGGUUCCACGGCCAGGAACGCGGGAUGACCACUGGUUGACGUCCGCCGAGCAUUGUGCGUUGCUUGAUCACUAGUAGAAAAGGGGGCCUUUGUCCUGGUUGGUAAGGGCCUUUAGUCCCGGUUUUUAAAUCGAGACUAAAGGGUCGUUACUAAUGCCUCUGGUCGUUACUAAUGUGAAUAUUGCCCUGUGACGAAAGCCCUGUUUUGUACUAGUGGAUGGGUGUGGUGUUGGCUGUAGGGUACCAUAGUGUUCUCUGAGACAUGCUUGUAGAAUUAUUCUUUUUUGGGUCUUUUUUUGCUCCUGUAUAGGUGUAUUUUUGGGUGUGUUUAUGUAAUUUUUUGUUGACAUGAGCAUAUAUUUUCUGUUAAUUUAUUAUUGGCUUAUAAUUUCCAUGGACCAAGAGAAAUGCGUGAUGGGCUAAUGUCCUGGACCGAAAUUAGUGGGCCUUUCUUGAAAUUAAUGGACCUAAAUUCAAAUUGGG